rnacentral:rRNA from 1 species
UACGUAGGUGGCAAGCGUUGUCCGGAUUUACUGGGCGUAAAGAGCGCGCAGGCGGUCCGAUCAGUCGACUGUGAAAGCCCCCGGCUCAACUGGGGAGGGUCAUUCGAUACUGUCGGACUCGAAGGCAGGAGAGGGAAGCGGAAUUCCCGGUGUAGUGGUGAAAUGCGUAGAUAUCGGGAGGAACACCAGUGGCGAAGGCGGCUUCCUGGCCUGUUCUUGACGCUGAGGCGCGAAAGCUAGGGGAGCAAACGGG